UAAUUAAAAAAUAACUAUUUAUUUAUGUUUUAGAUGAAUCUGGAAAAUUGUUAUUUAACUUAUAAGCGUGUGUCCAAGUCAUAGCAUAAUAUCCUUGUUCCGAUUGGCUGUAUUUGACUUAAGUUUGUUAUCAGUUCAUUUGACUGACAUUUGGCUAAUUGGUUCAGUUCUUCUUUUUUUUCAGACAAAGCGCAUACUAUUGAAUAUUGUAAUAUAUCUGGUGUGCCCUGAUUGCAUUCCAUUCCCCUUCACCCCUCAUUUCUUCGUUCAUUUAAUUCUCUCGAUUUCUGUUUUUAUUUUGAAUUUUCAAAUAAAUUUACCUAGAUCAAGAAAAGAAAAUGUACAAGGUGCAAUCGUUUAAAUUGUUAACAUAGGACAUAUUUUAGAUGAGAGAUAAACAAUGUUUUUUUUAGAUUAUUAUGUUAAAAUAACGUAAAUUGUAGCAAAUGACAAAUGAAUUUACCGAACAAUUGAAAAGAUCUCAUGUAAAUCGUUAAGGGAAUGUAAAACACAAAGAUUAGACUAUGAAAACAAAAAAAAAAUAUUUGCUGCGCCAAAAGCAUAAAUAACACGAACGUAACGAAAUAAAACCAAAACAAAACUAACAAAGAAGAAAGAAAUUUAAAAAAAACCCUAUAUAAGAUUUAUGUUUAAGUGUAUUUAAAUGUUUGAAAGUGAAAUUGAAGCAAAUAUUCUCAGACAUGGACAGAAUUAUUUUCUUCGUGUAUAUUCAUUUUGAAUUGAUCUCACAUUUGAUUUUUGCGUUCGUCCGGCAUCAACAAGCAGAUAAACAAUAACAACAAUCUAUUUAUAAAUGUAUUUUUUAUUGUUGUAUUUUCAAUAUUAGCAAUGAGUAACAAAAAAAAACAACAAUCGGUGAUAUUUUUCUUUUAUGGAUGGAUAUGCAUAGGAAAUUUAAAAUGAUAAAAAAUUAUACACAUAUACAUUUUCAUAUGGAACAAAGUUGUUCAAUUGUUAGCACCCGGUAUUUUCCAACAUAACAAACAACAACAAAUGUGUAAGACAAAUAUCGUUUUCCUCAUCGAUAAUAUCGAGAGAAUGAAAGAGAGAGGGGGCGAGAGAAGAAAAAGUUUAAAUAACGCCAUUUUAAUCGGUAUAUACAUUUAAUCGAUUGCAAGUGACUGAAGACUUCGACAAAAUAAUUCAAUUUGUAAAAAAACCAAAUUUUUUUUUUUGGAUGACGAAAAAUAAUACAAACAAAAACACACACACAAACAACACAUUUUGAAUAACAGUUAUUAAUGUGAAUUAUUGAGUGAUUUCUUUUUGAACACUUUUUGUACUGCUUGUGUGCUUUCAUUCUCUUUCUUUUGGUUUUUGAUUUAAUGAAAGAAGCUUGGUCAGUUUUGUUUUUGUAAAACUUUUGAGAAAAUAAUAAAUUUAUAAAAACACAAAUAAAAUGACUAACAAAACAUGAUGGAAAUACUUUACCUGUAUAUAAAUCGAACAGCAAAUGAGUACAACCAAAAUCCAGAUGAACAUUUUAAAUAUUAAGUUUUGAAGAACACGAAUGCCAACAUAAAAAACACAUCCAUAAAGACACACGAACAACAUCGAUAUCGAGCAUUUAGAUGAGUAUCCGACAAUUAUUUUAACCCAAAGAAGAUGAAAAAAACAAAACAAGGAUAAAACUAAUACUUUAAUUAUAAUAAUACAAAGAUAUGAACUGCCAAUAAUAAACAAACAAAGACACAUUAUUGAAACAUUAUUAUAACGUAAAUAGUCUAAAUUUCGAACAAAGAACAACAACUGAACGCUAUGAAAACAACAAAAAAAAAAUUAUAUAUUUGAAUUUAACAAGAAACAUUUAAGAAACAAAAAUAAAAAAUAAAAAAAAACAUUUAAACUGAUGCAGACAUGAUUGACGAAGCACAAAAUAGAUUAAUUAAAUAGAAUUAGAUUCUAUUAUUAUUGUAAUUAACUACUGAUAGACAUAUUAAAACCAAGCCAAGUAAAAGAAAACCACUGAACGAACAGAUAACACAAAGAAAACUGAAUAGGAGCGAACACAAUAACAAACGAACGGACGCAAUAUAUAGCCAAUAUAAACCCCUUAACAAUGAAAUAUAUGUAUACAUAUUUCGAAAAUGCGUGUUGUUGAUCGAUCACUUUGUUUUGUGAACCUGAGCUCCUUUUGGUUGAAAAUCAUCAUUAUCGUUUGAAAUCUAGAAUAAUUAAAAAAACAAACUUCUUCGACAUAAAACACCAACAACAAUUCAAAAUAAUGGCAAAGUAUCAAAACCAAAACAAAAAUGGAAUGUUGUCAAACAAAUCGCCAUCACCGUGACAGAACUAUCCGCAUUAUUCGUUUCAUCGAUCGAAUUUGAUGCACAAAUACACUUGUGUUUUUCUUCUUCGAUUUCCGAUUACACCUUUUGCUAUGUGUUAUUUGAAUCUUAUAGUCGAUUUAUUGGAAAACAUUUUCCAAACUAACUAUCGCACAAGCUGCACAAAUUUCUUCGGGUUUUUGUUUUUAAAUUCUGAUUUGAGAAUAUUUUCAUCGAUGUACGCAUAUCAUUGCCCUCUCAAAAAAAAAUGACAGAUCUUCAAUUCCACUAGCAACAAUAUGCAUCAUCAGUCUGAUCAUUUUAUACUAAUUGUUUUUGUGGCUAUCCGGCCAACCAUUUUGUGUGAUCAAAAAAAAAUACCCACCUGUUUCGUGAAUUGUAACAUUUCAAUUCUCGUUAUGUCAAAUGAAACCAAACACAAACGGCAAGCACACAGUAAGCAUUCCAUCAUCACGAAUGAUUUUCUGGCCAUCAUAAUUAAGAGGCUUGCAGAUUCAUGGCAUUUGACAAAAUAAAACACACGUUUCGUAUCACUAAACAAUAAUAUUUACUUUACAUCAUUUCGUAAAUCGGCGCAAAAACUAAAAUUUCGUCAUUCGUAAACAAGCGAAAGAAUAUAAAAAAUGAUCCUCCGAAAUUAAUUCAUAAGACACAAAAAUACAAUCCAUAUUGAAAAUGGUUUGACUUUCGUUUUGACAACGUUUGGAUAGAAUAAAAAAAAAUAUAGUGAUGAAACAUAAAUUUGAUUCAAUUUCAAAACCAGGCUGCAUUUAAUCUCUUUCUCUCUCUUUCUCGUGGGAAAUAAUAAUCUUACCAUGCAAUGGAUGCAUUUUCAUCUAUACAGGCAAAAUCAAUUACUACAUACGUAUUUAAUUUAUAAAUAUGAGUAGUAGCUCAUUAUUAUAGUGAUCGAAAUUUUCCUCCGUAGAAAACCAUUCAUAUCAAAACUGGAACUUCUUAAAGUUAAAAUUACAUACACAGAUAGAAAACGUUCACCGUAAUCACACUUACACAUCCACCAAAUUAACCGUCAAAGAGAUUCAACGUCAUGCAAAUGGGACAACACAAAACGUCGAAGAAACAACAACAACAAAUCCACAGUGUAAUAAUUAAAAAAAAAAAACAUAAACAACUUAUAUAGAACUCUUUUUUUGUACAGCAAUUUCUCUAGUGAUGAUAACAUAUAUUUUUAUUGGUUAAUUUUUAGUGUAUUUUAAGCACUCAAAAAAGGGAAAGAACAAGAUACAACAACCGCAUAGAACUAACAACAAAAAGUGAAGAAAAUUGAAAAUUAAACGUUAAAAAUUAAAAAUAUUUUUUUAGUAAAUAAACAAUAUUUGAAGAGAAAACUCAGUCUUAAUCUCACACACACAAACAAAACAAACCAAAAAAAAAAAUGAUGAAACGAAAAAAAUAUUAUGUCCAAAUCGUUUAAUUAAUAUUCGAAGUAAUUACGUGAGAUAUUCGUUAACAAACAUUUAAAACCACAUAAAAAGCACGAAAGACAGAGAAAAAAAACACACACAAACGAAAACCAUGUAAAAUAACAACAAGAAAAAUGAGACAUAACGCCAAAUUUUUGUUUCUUAAAUGACAACAACCAGCUGGUGCCACUGUGUACCGGAUAAGGAAUAAAACGUAUAACAGUAAAUGAAAUGAAUUACAAACAUACAUACACAAACACACACCUAAUAACAAACUCGAUUCGAUUCAAUUUGAUCAAAUAAAACUAAGAAUAUGAUAAUUUUGCGGGUAUUAAUAUUAAUAUUAAUAAUAAUGAUCUAACUCAGGAGCAAGUGCAAUCGGCAUUUUGCUCGCGGUUUGCCGAGCAAUAUUCCAGUUGUGCGCGCCUCUGUUCAAAAAAAAAAAAAAACAAAACUAUUGAAUUACUAUAUGUGUAAUAUUUAAAAGAAAUUUACAAAAAAAAAAUGAAAAACCAAACAAACGCGUAUUUUUCAAAGAUAAAUUGAACCGAUCUUUGUUUUUUUUUUCUGUUAAAAGAAUAUAACCUUUCGAUAGUAAAAGAUUAAGACGUAAAGUGUUGAAAAUGAGAAAGGGGACAACAACAGCUCUUCAAGAAAAAAAAGUCGCUUCGUUUGAAAAUUUAUUCGUUCGUUUAAACGCAAAAUAAAAUAAAAAAAAAACCAAUAAAAGAAAGAAACAUACCGAAUUAAAGGCGUGCCAAAAACAAAAGAAAAUACAUGCCAAAUGUUUCGAAACCAAAAACUAAUUGUCAAGUAAAGUUGAGUAAACUGCUGGCAGUUUACAUGAAGACAAAUUAUACAAAACAAAUCCACCACCGUCGCACAGCUGAAAUAAAACAAAAAUAAAAACAUCAUCAAACAACAACAAAAUCCAAUCGAUCUGAGCUCUUCAACACAAAUCCGACGAAUUGCCGUGAUUAAAAUGUGCUUCAUUUUUGUGUUCGUUUAUUUCGUUUUUCAUUUCGAUUAUUUUGACCUUUUGAUUUCUCUCGUAGCUCAUUAUGUAACAAAUACUCUCUUUCAAAUGAUUGGCGAGUCAUUUAACAUACAAAACAAAAACUCGUCCUUCUAUAGCUGAAAACAAGAAAAAAAAAAAUUACGAAACAAACAAAAAAAAAUAUUAUCUAGAGAAUGAAAAUAAAACAAUUGUAUAAGAUAUAACUUCUUCUUGAACUCUCUAAAAGACGAGAUGAUAAUAAUAAUUUAAUGACAAAAAAAAUGAAAUGAAUAGCUACAUACUAUGUUUUUGGUAGAUUUUAUAUGAAAAUAUACAAUUAGAUAUUUAUUCUGGACGCAUGUUGUGAACAGAUUUUUAUUUAAGUUUAUGGAAUGAGCAAAGAAAAUACUAGCACUUACAAAUAAUUUCAAAUCACACAAACACGCUCAUACACACUAACGACAACUAUUCAUAAACAUAUGCCUAUUAUUUGUUGAUUGUUAAAGAAAAAAAAAUAUGAGAAAUUUUUUUUUUUAGUAAAAAGUAAAUAAAUGUUGUGUGUAAGAAGUUUGGUCAAUGCUGUAAAUUUGCAGAUAUAUACAUUUAUAUAUAAUAUAUGUGGAAUGGAUCAAAUUGAUUGAAAUUUAUUUUUUUUUUGAUUUCCAUUGGACAUUGGAUGCCCAACACAUCGCAUUCGAAUGCAAUCAAAUCAUGUCUGCCAAUGUGAACAAUUCUCAAAAUAUGAUUUGGAUCACAUAUAUAUUAUAUAUUGACCGAUAGUCGUACACACUCCGGUCACUUCGAUAACAGAAUACCAAAUCGUUCUAUAUGGCACCGGUAAAUGCUAUUGGGCAAAGAAGAAAGCAUAUUUAAAAAAAACUUCUAAUUUGGUACUCGGUUGUUGUUAGUUGUUUUUAAAAAGUCGAAAUUUGAGUAUUUAACUUUUUCCCCCUUAAAAUUUAUACAAAUCAUAUUUCUCGUAUUUGAAGCGGAUCUUGAUGAUAUGUUAUUUGAAAAAUUUACUUCAACAUUUCGCUUUUUACAAAACAAGUAAUGGCAUAGAGUACUACACGCAUGAAUUGAUUAUUUACUAAGAACGUCGUAUACCCGGCGUUUUUUUUUUGUUUCAAGUACACAAAUGUGCGCAAAUUUGGUAUCAAUUCGAUAAAAUAAAACUAAAUGUGCUUAUAUGUUUAAUGAUGAUAAACGAUCCAUAAUAAUAAUAAAAUAAGAAUCCGGAAAAUUUAAUGUCAUGCUGACCAGCUUUCGUUGUGAUACUAAAGUGGCAUGUGGCCACUAUCAUUCUCUGAGCAUUGUUCAAAUGGAAUCAAACUAAAACAAUGUGCACCUGAUUGACGAAUAACACCGAUUUAAAUGUGAAUUAUAGCAAAAAGAAAAGAAGAGAAGAGUAAACAUAAGUUAGUUGCCAAUAAGAUAAACAAUCAUAACAAAAUAUUGGAAUUUCAUGGCGUAUAAAAAUCGAAUGUUUUUUCUCGAUUUAUCCGGAUCCAUCGAAAUUUCAACAAUUUCGCCAUUCGACACACCAUCGAAACUAUCGGAAAGGUUAUCAGGAUGAUGAUACUCCAUUAUCAAUGUUACCAUGGCCGACACGCUAGGCCUACGAAGGCCUACAUUCAUCAUAGUGCCUCUUAUCAUUGUUCCUAUAUCCUUUUUUCAAAGUGAAUAAACACAAUUACCUGAUCUAAGGAAGGGCGAACGACAAACAACAGAACACCAAAGAUAUUUCAAGUUAACAAAGUAUAAUGAAAGUUGUUUGGCACGGCUUAGUUUUUUCGUUUUCAAUCACAUGAAACUCACAAUUAUCGAGCACAAUUGUACCAAAUUUUAUAUUUCGAGCAAUGCGUACUUUGUCGAAGAACAAAAGAAAACGUCGUGGUGCAUAAAUACCCUAUUAUGAAUGUCCAAAAAAGAACAGAACAAAAAUUGUAUAUGUAUUUGUUUAUUUAGUAUUUAACAAAUGAGAAAAUUAUAUUUGAAAAGAAAGAAUUUGUGAAAAAGCAAAAAAAAAUAAAAAAUAAAAAAAAUUAGGAAACACACAGACAUAACAAAUAUGAUUUAGAUCGAUAUAAAUUAGGUUAAACAAAAACAAAUGAUAAAAGUAAUCAAUGCGACUAAGUUUUAAACAAAAAUGGGAUAAAGUGCAACUGAAAAGUAAAAUAAUAAUAAUCUUCAAUAACCAAACCAAAAAAAAAACACGAUCAUGAUUACCACGAUUUUUAAUCCUUUUCUAGACAUAUUUUCUUUUAUACAUUUGAUCGUUUUGUAAUGAAAGAAGAAGAAAAAAAAAAAACCAAAAUGAAAAUAAAAAUUCCAACGUAAACAUGGAUCAUACAGUUUGUAUCACAUAACUUCGUGUACAAUAAUCCCGUAAAAUUUUCUGCAUCUCAACGUCCUCUUUGAUUCGAUCUCAAUCGAAAUACAUACACAAAGGGAAGCAAGGCCAAUGACAUGUUCUAUCACACACACACAUACACACACAAAAAAAAAAACAAAUCGUAUUAUUUCUUGAGUUAAAGCAAUGUCCAAUUUUAAAAUUCUGAUCGAAACAGACGAAAGUUUAAGUAUUUCUUGGACGAUGGAAGUAUGCAUUUGAAAGAGUGGAACCAUUCAGUUAUAAAUCAGUUUUAAUUAAUUAAAAUUAUAUUCUAUUCGCAAGAUUCAAUGAACAGUGUUCAUAGAAGAUAAAAAAGCCAAAAUUCCAAUCAAAACAUCAAUGCAAACACUACACAGACCGUUUUGAAGUAAACUCCUAUCGUACUUCUUAUGUGUUAUCAUUCUUCAAUAAUUCAAAAGAAAGGGCCGAUUGAGUUGUUCCUCCUUACCGGACGAAAACAAAAAUGAACAACAACAACUAAAAUCCAAAAUAACAAAGAGAAAACUGAAAUACAAAACUGUGAUGUGUUAUGCAAAUAAACUAACAUUAGAAUUCAUCUCUCUCUUCAUCUCACUCUUAUAAUUAAUUUGUUUCUCUGGCGUGAUAUUGUACCAAUCCUCUCCUGGCUAUCUAUACAUUAGAUACAAUGAACAAAAAAGAAAGAAAACGUUAUAUAAAUAGCAAAUUAAUUAGGUCAAGUCCAUAAAUUAUUAGAGAGACCAUCCUCAAAUAAAUAACACCAAAGAUGCGAGAGAUGAUGAAGAAACAAUGCAAAAAAAAAACAGGAAGUACGAAUUAAACAGUUAAAAUGAAAAUACAUUGAUAGAUUACGAUAAAUUAUAAAAGUUAAAUAGAUAACGAAGAGAAAAUAAAUACACCGUUUGUGUGGUGGUAACAUGAUAGAUCACAACAUGUAUCAACGUUUGUUUUUGUGUUGUUGUUGAAAAAGUUCAUGAAACAAUCGAAGCAUUCGAGCAUUUUCAUUAUCAUCUUCUUCGUCUAAACAAAUGGCUUUCUUUGUAUUUAGUACACAAAUAUUCUUCAUAUCGUUGAUUUGCUUCGUGCCGAAAAAUGAAUUUGAUAUUCAUUCGGCAUUUCAUCUCUGAUCAGAGUUCCUUCAAAUGGCACAGGUGCCAUAUGAUAUGUCAAUUUCAGCGAAAUGUACAUAUGUGUGUCUAAUUAAAUUCAAUAAAUAAUUUGUACCUGAAUCAACACGAUGAUGAGCAUAUCAUCUACGUUCCAUUAAUCAUUUCUGAUGCACACAUCUACUGGUACACAUUUUAUCACACUGAUGAUAUUAAUAAUUGCCGAAUUAAUUUUCCGCACCAUUCUCAAUUUCCCUUUAUAUCUCUUCUUGGUCUCGUAUACUCCGCCAAAUCGUAACCACAAGAGAAUUGUUUUGUCUCUUCAGCUUCUCUACAAAAUGGAAUAACGGCUUUUAUACUGUUGAACAUAUAAUACCAUGCAUGCGAAAAACUGAAUUCCAAGUUGAAACCGAUGUCUCUCUCAUUGAAUUAUAUAUAUAUAGAUUAUAUAUAAUAUAAAAUAGUUAACAUAUAUAGUUGCCUGAAAUAAGAAUUUAGUAAAGAAUAGGUAUAGGGUGAACUGAGAAAAGCUAAAAAAAAACAAACCAAAAAUAAUGGUGAAUCAAAUAAAAUAAAAGUAAUUUGUCUUUUUUUGUUGGUUCGGCGAAAGAAAAAAAUAAUGAACAGAAUCGUAAUAUGACACAGUAUAACAAAGAAAAAUAUUAAGAAAAUGAAAUAGGGGCUCAUAAAUCAAUGCAGUUUGUUACAAAUUGACUGCCGUAAUUUUUUUCUGUUUUUAUUCCCUUUGACACCGGCACCACGUUGGUCCAACCAAUCAAUUUUUGAAUGGAAUAUUGGUGUUGACACGCACACAGGUCAAUUUGUGGCUAUUUGCAUUGAUUUUUACACAAUAAAAUCAAUAUUUUUUAUUCACCAUACAUCUUUAUUGCCGUUGGAUUAAAAAGCACAACAAAUCGUAUGACACCAAAAUUCGAUUGCAUUUCACAAUUUAUGUACAUGGAGUAAGAAAUAAUGAGAACACAUCCUCAACCAAAAAAAAAAAAAAAAAAAAUACUGUGCUAAAAAAACUUGUAUCGAAAGCAAUCAAAGCAAAUAAAAUAGCAGUGGAUAAAUAAAAACUGCACAAGGGCCGCAAAAAUCGAACCGAAUCAAAUGAGAUAUAUUAACAUUUCGUUGAAAAUAUCUAAUGGGGCGGAUAAAGAUGAAGAAGAAGACGAAGAAUAGUUAACUUGACGUUCAUUUCUGUUGUGAAUUUAAAAAAAAAAAAGACAUUUUUUAUGCCUAUGGCUUUUAUACUCUUACAUAUAUAUUUUAUAGAGAUGUUUUUUAUUUUAAUUUUAUUUUAUGCUUUGCAUUAUGCAAGACGGUUUUUCAAAAGGCAUUAUUGAAAUGUGAAUUUUGCUAGCUUGUAUUUCGUUAAAUACUGGAUAUUUUUGUUUGUCGUUCUUUGAUUUCGUAAUCAUGCGACAUGGAUAUGUUUUAAUCUAGAAAUGUAAGAAACUAUACGCCAUCCGAAAAGAAUGAAGAAAAAAAGAAGUGAAAUUUAAUGAACAAAGAAAAAAAAGAAUGAGAAUUGAGUUCAAUGGGAGAAUUUUCAAAGUGCAAAUAUUGAAUAUAUGAUUGAGAAUGAGCACGUAAUACUUCUUCAUUUACCGAGCAACAACUAAAAAAAUCAAGCAACAAAAAAAUCUCGCAUUGCAAAUCUAUGACUGAAGUAAUUGAUGAUCGGUGUCAUUUAGAAAAAUUAUCUCUUUCUUCUACAAAUACACAUACAAAUGCAAGAGUGUAGAAUUUUCUCAUUUGACUUAGUUUCUGCGGUAGCUUAGUCGCAUUCGAUGUUAGCUAAUCAUAACUAUAUUCUUCUAAACACAUUUAAAUCAUGGUCUUUUGUCAAUUAAAUAUAAAACAAACUGAUACAUCUACACUAGUUGAAGAUUUGAAAAUUCGAUCCCUGCAAACAAACACAAAAAAAAAACCGAAUAAAA